CCUCCUAGCCAACCUCAGGGAGCUGCCGCAGGACAUACGAAAUAGAAUUCCUGCCACGAAACACUCACGUAAACCUACAGGAACGGUAUAUUUUUGGCCUCAAAAUACACAAGGCGGCUUCCCAUUGCAGCAGAGCAGAAAAUGGGCAAAAUAUUCCCUCGACGCCCAUGAAUCUGUCAUUAAAGAAGUUGUGCGUCUGCUAGGGAAAGGAUUACAUGUUCCUCAACAUUGCAGAUCGUAUCCCUUUGCAGAGAAUUUCGGCUGCCACAAGGCAGUAUUCUGUACUCCCCUCCCCCUUCCAUCUCAUUGGAUGAUUCAGGCCAAUCCACAGAAUGCUAAGGAUUCCGGCAGAAUCUUAGCAUGGCAACUGGUGAACUGGGUCCAAACGACUUGAUAUCGCCUAGAAUCACAUAUUGAUGCUACAGGCAACUGGAGAAGCUAAGUGACAAGACAAAAGAGCACAGAACAAGCUUACUGAGAGAUGGGCUUGCACAUUAUUAAAGCAGCCGAAAAGCAGAUACAGAAGGAAUGGACAAACCGCAAUAAACUUAUGCAGACAUAAAUUCAAUAGUGAGUGGUUUAUGGAAAAAUGAAGAUAAGCAUAGCACUGGAGUGUUGGAAUGGAAAGACGAAAAUGGUGAGUAGUGAAUUGGCACAGUUUAUCUUGAUGAGAUUGAUUAGUCAUAAUUACUGAAUUAUUAACUAUGAGAACUUUAAAAAAAAAUUGCUUUCAUUUGUAGAUUAACCCCAACUUGCCACGUUAUUACAAUUCAGAAAAGCAAUUUCAAUUAAAAUGCAUUGGAGUGUGUCAACAUCACAUAAUAGUUUACAAAGUUACGAUUCUGUAGUUAGAGUCAGAAGUUUUCAGUUGGCACUGUAGCUGACUUUCAUGCAAAAGAAAUUAAGUCAUCUGAAGUUACAUGUAGAGCUGGUAGCUUGAAGAUCCUAGUUCAACUCAGCUGAUUACAGGUUGAUUUUUUUAAAUUUCCAUAUCAAGCAGGGAUGGAUCAUAGAAUUUUUCAGAGUCAAAUAUCUUCUUUCAACAAUUACAACCAUUGAAAAAUAUGCUUAAAAUAUUCCAUUAGUCUGACAUCCUUAGAAAGUUAUCAAAAGUUAAUCAUGUCAAACAACAAUAAAAACAAAACCCCAGAGCCAAACUCUU